ACGAACGCUGGCGGCGUGCUUAACACAUGCAAGUCGAACGGAAAGGCCCUGCUUUUGUGGGGUACUCGAGUGGCGAACGGGUGAGUAACACGUGAGUAACCUGCCCUUGACUUUGGGAUAACUUCAGGAAACUGGGGCUAAUACCGGAUAGGAGCUCCUGCUGCAUGGUGGGGGUUGGAAAGUUUCGGCGGUUGGGGAUGGACUCGCGGCUUAUCAGCUUGUUGGUGGGGUAGUGGCUUACCAAGGCUUUGACGGGUAGCCGGCCUGAGAGGGCGACCGGCCACAUUGGGACUGAGAUACGGCCCAGACUCCUACGGGAGGCAGCAGUGGGGAAUAUUGCACAAUGGGCGGAAGCCUGAUGCAGCAACGCCGCGUGCGGGAUGACGGCCUUCGGGUUGUAAACCGCUUUCGCCUGUGACGAAGCGUGAGUGACGGUAAUGGGUAAAGAAGCACCGGCUAACUACGUG
rnacentral:rRNA from 1 species